CCCAACCCAAAAGGAGGGUUUCUGAGUGUGAAAUCUAUUCAGCGUGUUGGCUGUGCUUUAUCACUUAUAAUGGGACUGAGACCAAAAUAUUGUCCCGGAGUGCUGGUGUUUGCCUGGCACUUGGCACACCUUUCCAUCCGUAAGACUUCCAUCAUUACAGCCAGUUAGCACCCUCAGCAUCAGCCCCGCGACAGGUCCAGGUGACCCGUCCCCACUCCCCCAGCCCAGAGGCAAGGUGACCGGCAGAGGCUCCCUCCUGACUGUCGCCUUCAGCACGUCCUCUGGACAGUGUGGGGCCCCAGAGCACAGUCCCCAGGGACAGACAGCGUGGUCACUUCAGACGCAGGUGUCCCCACGGCCCCUCGCAGCUCAGCCCUUAACCCGCUGGACACAGCGCGCCGGGACCCACUCCUGACCCCCGGCCAGCUGCUCCGCGUUGCUCUGUCUGUGGUCACACGUUUGUUCUUGCCAAAAACUCUACAAACUCUCUUUUCUUUCUUUCCUUCCAUGUCUCCGCCCUCCCCUUUCGUUUUCAGUUUCUAUUUUUGUUCUUGUUUUUCUCCUUAGCUUUCAUUCUGUGGUCAUAGCUCGCCUGGGCACUCUGGUGUGCCCCCCUUUCCUCCAGCUUUACCGGAGAGCGGCGAGUGCCCGUCCCUGAAGACUCAGGGGGAGCCGGCCUCUGCAGACCCCCUGCCGUCGAGGAGGAGGGAGAGAGGGGGUCUCUGAGCACCUCCCAGGGGACUGUUCACUUUGAUGAGCCGGAAUUAGAACUCGUUCUCCGACCGGGCUUCUCUGAAGAGGCCUGGUCUUGGCUGCGGACCCCAGGUCCUUGCUUGGGACACAGCCCCUGGCCCCACUUACGGGGACACUCGGGGCCCCUGCUGGCGGGUGCCCAGGCUGCUUCGGUGCAGGAGCCCCGGCCCCUGCCUCCCCUGGUUCCCUCAGUGACCGCAAUAGGAGUCAGAAGAGAGGGCGGACUCCCAGAAACAACGCAGGCGGCCCGCAGCACGCCGCGGUGGGGCUGCUGCCACGACGGGGACCUUUGUCCAGGGCACCCGGGCGGCUCAUGGAGCAUCUCCAGUGUGGUUCCCCGGGUCUCCCGGGCCAGCUGUGAAGACGCUGCAACUCGCUCGCCGGGGUCCUGGGCACUUGCCGACCGACGCAUGCGGCCACCCUGCUGUGUUGGACACUGUCGCCAGUGGGAAUAG
rnacentral:lncRNA from 1 species